GAUCUCAUCCGAAAGCUGAUUCCAGCUACAGGUUCAUACUGUUGUAUUCUUUUAUACUGUUUCAUUCGUACUGUUUUAAAUCAUUCAGUGAAUGCAAAGUUAAACCGUCGUGUUUUUCAUCUAGAUUUAAAAGUGUCUACCGUUGAAACACAUCUGAUCUCUUCUGAAAGCUGAUUCCAGCUCCAGGUGGCAUAUUAACUGAAUGCUGAUGCACCUUGUAUUUCGAUUGCUUUGUAUGCUUGAAACAUGUGAAGAAUUGACAAUAAAUAAUCUUUAUCAAGUGUUAUACAUUAAAAAGUGGAUAAGUAACAAAAAUGUCACUCCUGACAGCUGAUAAAUUAAUGUUUUUUUAUAGCACCAUUGAGGCGAGCACUUUUCAAGGCAAGAUUCUUUAUAGAACCUUAUAAAAAGUUUCCAUAUAGUACCAAAAAACGGGUUCUGCUGUGGUUACAUGCUGAGGAACCCUUAUUUGGUACUUUUUAGGAGCAUUUGUCUUAAGAGUGUUGCAUAGGUUCGAAACUUUCAAACUUGAAACCAAAUAGAAGGGUCACACUGUUUUUUUUGUGGAGUGGACAUGAACAAGCUGCAGGCAUUCAAAUGUUAUUUGUAAUUUAUUGUCUUAUUUCAUAUUUAAAAAAUAGCUAUACAACUGGUGUUCCUCAAUUUUAGGGCCUAUUUUGUUUAGUAUAUCAGUUUUGUUCAGUUUUUUAUGUGCAUGCAAAAAGCAAUCAGCAAGCAAAUUAACUGAAGCUUUACCUUCAUGUUCUUUUUGUGUAAGUGAUAACUGUUUCUGUAUGUAUUUUAUGUAUUUGUAUGUUUUUUUACACGUAUAGAGUGAAAUGCACACGGUGAGGAAUGGACCCAGACCUUCAGUGCCAGACCUCUGACCCGUUAACCUCCAUCCCGACAGCCAGCGCCUUCUCCGGCUCCCAUUGCGGUAUCGCUUCUCGGCUUUUUGGACAAGAACAAGUGGACACCGGGGACUACAAGUUUAAAUGGAUUUUUGACCUUCGGAAAUGGAAGCGAGGCUUGCUCCGUCCACUCCGUUCAUCGACUCGGGCGCUUUCCGGGCACAAAUAAGUUUGCGGAGGUGAUACCAGGACGAAUUAAACAGCCUCGACACAGCUGAAGGCGCAAGAAAAUCGUACGAGACAGUUUGGGACGUUAAAAACACCAGAAAACUUUUUUUCCACUACCCUUCAUACUACAGCGGUCGAAAAACCACAGCAACGUCGACACGCCUGGAAGCAUAGCUGUAUUUGUUUAAGACAACGGGUAAAGUAUUUUCUUGAUUACCUAAAUGACUUGCAGUAAGAAAAUAUUUUAAUUUAUAAUGAUAACUCUGUCAUCAUUUAUUCAUCCUCGUGUUGUUUUCAACCUGUAUGCAUUCGUAUUUUGGAGGUGACACGAUGACGACUUAAACAUCAUCGACACAGCUGAAAAAGCGAACGAGACAGAUUGGGAUGUUCAAAACACCUGAAAACUUUUUUUUCACUGUACUACAGCUGUCGAAGAACCACAGCAACGUCGGCAGAUCUGGAAGCAUAGCUGUAUUUGUUUAACUCACAACGACAACGGGUAAGUCAUUGAGCCCUUGUGUUUUUAUUUAUCCACGUUCUAAAAUUGCUAUGCUUUCGUUGUUUCUCGAUUGCUCUGUACAUUUCUUUGUUUCUAUUCCACGUAAAGUUACUUUGUAAUAACGAAACGAUAUAUUGAAAUGCGCUAUUUAAAUCCAUUUGAUUUAAUUUGUUUCACGUUUUUCUCUCUGCACGGUUUAACCGGGCUGGAAACGGAAAAUGGGUAGAUCUCGAAGAAUAUUUGGUUUCAGACCUGGCUUCGUGCGCCUUUCCACCUGGUCACACACAGUAAUGAAAUGGUAGUCGGACGGCCUUCGGGGGCGCCGUCGAUGUGAUCGGUCACAGGAAGAUGCGGCCGUCUGGCCUCUAAGGCUGUUGCUCAUACUUACCUGGCAGGGGAGAUACCAUGAUCAUGAAGGUGGUUCACCCAGGGCGAGGCUCAGCCAUUGCACUCCGGUUGUGCUGACCCUUUGCGAAUUCCCCAAAUGUGGGAAUCUCGACUGCAAAAUUUCUGAUAGUGGGGGACUGCGUUCGCGCUCUCCCCUGGC